rnacentral:lncRNA from 1 species
GGUGUGGCCAUGGGAUUGCUUGUUCCAGUGAAUGGUUCCACAUCUAGAAGGGGCUGAGGCAGAAAUGAGAAAAUUUUGCCUCGUAUAUAUCAUGACAAUUACAUCUCUGACUGGGCCAUGCAAUUGUUCUGCCCUGAGACCUGGAGGGACCAAACGAUCUUCAAAAGUCCCAGAAUCUAGAGCCUUUUGCUGGAAGAACCCCGAAGCAAUGCCUCUUCAGAACCAAGGAUCACUUCCAGUGCCUGGAUCUUGAUUUUAGAAUGCUAUUCUAUGGUAAAAGGAACCUAGGCUUCAUUGGACAUGUCUGGCCCUAGGACUCUGGCAGGAAAAGCUCAAGUAAUUGUAGAACUCCAGGGACUACAAGGAAGUUAGGAAGUUUCUAAAGAGAACUGAAUGGGAGGUAUCUGAUGGGUAUAAGGGCUAAACCAGUAGAACUUCCAGCAACCAAGCCUGAGUAACCUAGGCAAAAACAUAACAAUGGUAUUUGUGGUUGCAUUACAGACUGAGAACACGCAAACAUAUUUAUUUUAAUAAAUGACUAUAUAAAUAAAUAAAUGGGUAGAAAAACACAAUGCAAAAUAAUUACAGAUCUAUGCAGAAUGCCCUCCCAUGUGGAGGGCUAAGGAA